rnacentral:rRNA from 1 species
CGGUAAUUCCAGCUCCAAUAGCGUAUACUAAAGUUGUUGCAGUUAAAAAGCUCGUAGUUGGAUUUCUGCGGGGACGGAGCGGCCGGUCGCAACUUGCGACUCGAGCUAGCGCUUUCCCCGCAUCCUGCCGCGAACCGUGCUACCAUUAGUUUGGUGGCGCUGGGGAUCGGCUCGAUUACUUUGAGAAAAAUAGAGUGUUCAAAGCAGGCCACACGCCUUGAAUAAGUUAGCAUGGAAUAAUGACUAAGGACUUCGGUUCUAUUUUGUUGGUGUUCGGGACUGAAGUAAUGAUUGAUAGGGACAGUUGGGGCGGUCUGUAUUCCAAAGCGAGAGGUGAAAUUCUUAGACCUUCGGAAGACAAACAGCUGCGAAAGCGUUCCGCAAGGAUGUUCCCUUUGAUCAAGAACGAAAGUUGGGGGAUCGAAGACGAUCAGAUACCGUCGUAGUCUCAACUAUAAACUAUACCAGCUAGGGAUCGGCCAACGUUUAAUUAAUCGACUUGGUCGGCACCUUAUGAGAAAUCAAAGCAUCUGGGUACCGGGGGGAGUAUGGUCGCAAGGCUGAAACUUAAAGGAAUUGACGGAAGGGCACCACCAGCCGUGGAGCCUGUGGCUUAAUUUGACUCAACACGGGAAAACUUACCAGGUCCAGACAUAGGAAGGAUUGACAGAUUGAUAGCUCUUUCUUGAUCCUGUGGGUGGUGGUGCAUGGCCGUUUUUAGUUGGUGGAGUGAUUUGUCUGCUUAAUUGCGUUAACGAACGAGACCCCAGCCUGCUAAAUAGCGCGGCCGAGCUUUGCUCGGUGCGAGCUUCUUAGAGGGACCAUGAUGCGCGAUAGCACAAGGAAGUUUGGGGCAACAACAGGUCUGUGAUGCCCUUAGGUGUUCUGGGCCGCACACGGGCUACACUGGCGCCUGCAACGAGCAUAUCAGCUGGCCCGAGAGGGUCUUGGCUAAUCUUUUGAACCGGCGCCGUGCUUGGGAUUGACCUUUGCAAUUGUUGGUCAUGCAACGAGGAAUGCCUUGUAAACGCGAGUCAUCAGCUCGCAUUGAAUACGUCCCUGCCCUUUGUACACACCGCCCGUCGCUCCUACCGAUGAAUGUUCCGAUGAAAUUUUCGGAGAGCGCCGGAGAACGGGGCUCUGCCUUGCAGAUCUGGAGGCUCAAAGUCACUUAAAUCUGAACAUUUCGAGGAAGGAGAAGUCGUAACAAGGUAGCCG